UACGUAGGGCGCAAGCGUUAUCCGGAAUUAUUGGGCGUAAAGAGCUCGUAGGCGGUUUGUCGCGUCUGCCGUGAAAGUCCGGGGCUCAACUCCGGAUCUGCGGUGGGUACGGGCAGACUAGAGUGCUGUAGGGGAGACUGGAAUUCCUGGUGUAGCGGUGAAAUGCGCAGAUAUCAGGAGGAACACCGGUGGCGAAGGCGGGUCUCUGGGCAGCAACUGACGCUGAGGAGCGAAAGCGUGGGGAGCGAACAGG
rnacentral:rRNA from 1 species